rnacentral:lncRNA from 1 species
UAAAUCAAGUUUUUGUUCCCAAACUAGCACUCAAGUUCAAAAGUCACAAAAAUAACACUUAAUGUUUUAUCAAAAGUAACAAACUUAGGGUUUAGAGUUAAAGGGUGGGGUUUAAGAUUUAGGUUUAGGGUUUAGGGUUUAGGGUUUAGGGUUUAGGGUUUAGGGUUUAGGGUUUAGAGUUUAGAGUUUAGGGUUUAGAGUUUAUGGUUUAGGGUUUAGGGUUUAGGGUUUAAGGUUUAGGGUUGAGAAAUGAGGUUUUGGGGAUAAGAUUUCAAAUUUUGAAAAAUAAAAAAAUUAAAAUUUUCAAAGGAUAAACUUAGAAAUGUGCUAUUUUGGUCAUUUUAGUUUUGGAGUGCUAUUUUUGUGAUAUAAACUUAGAAAGAUGCUAUUUUGAAGAUUUACCCUAAAAAAAACAUCGUAACUAUGCCUAGAUUUUCAAUAUAUUUGUAAAACACCUUUGGUAUAGUAGUUGAAUAUAAUGUAAAAUUCAACUUCUGUGUGUAAUCACAAUCAAUAAUUUGUUUAACUAAUUGUACCAUUAAAAUAAAGUUUUUUUUAUUGAAACAAAUAGGAAGAAAUUAAAACUCAAUCAUACAACUCUCCCUUAUAUAGUCAUGGGUUCAGAUUUUUUAUUUUUUUGGCUAAAAAGUUAUGGGCUCAGAUAAA